GACGAACGCUGGCGGCGUGCUUAACACAUGCAAGUCGAACGAUGAAGCCGGAGCUUGCUCUGGUGAAUUAGUGGCGAACGGGUGAGUAACACGUGAGUAACCUGCCCUUGACUCUGGGAUAACUGCUAGAAAUGGUAGCUAAUACCGGAUACGACCCUCGGAGGCAUCUCCAGGGGGUGGAAAGAAUUUCGGUCAAGGAUGGACUCGCGGCCUAUCAGCUAGUUGGUGAGGUAACGGCGCACCAAGGCGACGACGGGUAGCCGGCCUGAGAGGGUGACCGGCCACACUGGGACUGAGACACGGCCCAGACUCCUACGGGAGGCAGCAGUGGGGAAUAUUGCACAAUGGGCGCAGGCCUGAUGCAGCAACGCCGCGUGAGGGAUGACGGCCUUCGGGUUGUAAACCUCUUUUAGCAGGGAAGAAGCGAAAGUGACGGUACCUGCAGAAAAAGCACCGGCUAACUACGUGCCAGCCGCCGCGGUAA
rnacentral:rRNA from 1 species